rnacentral:rRNA from 1 species
GGUAGUCCACGCCGUAAACGAUGAGUGCUAGGUGUUAGGCCCUUUCCGGGGCUUAGUGCCGGAGCUAACGCAAUAAGCACUCCGCCUGGGGAGUACGACCGCAAGGUUGAAACUCAAAGGAAUUGACGGGGGCCCGCACAAGCGGUGGAGCAUGUGGUUUAAUUCGAAGCAACGCGAAGAACCUUACCAGGUCUUGACAUCCCGAUGCUAUUCUUAGAGAUAGGAAGUUACUUCGGUACAUCGGAGACAGGUGGUGCAUGGUUGUCGUCAGCUCGUGUCGUGAGAUGUUGGGUUAAGUCCCGCAACGAGCGCAACCCUUAUUGUUAGUUGCCAUCAUUAAGUUGGGCACUCUAGCGAGACUGCCGGUAAUAAACCGGAGGAAGGUGGGGAUGACGUCAAAUCAUCAUGCCCCUUAUGACCUGGGCUACACACGUGCUACAAUGGUCGGUACAACGAGUUGCGAGCCGGUGACGGCAAGCUAAUCUCUGAAAGCCGAUCUCAGUUCGGAUUGGAGGUUGCAACUCGCCUCCAUGAAGUCGGAAUCGCUAGUAAUCGCGGAUCAGCACGCCGCGGUGAAUACGUUCCCGGGCCUUGUACACACCGCCCGUCACACCACGAGAGUUUGUAACACCCGAAGUCGGUGAGGUAAC